UACGUGAAACCGUUCAGGGGUAAACCUGAGAAACCCAAAAGAUCGAAUGGGGAGAUUCAUCGUCAGCCGGCUUGGCUUGCGUGUGGUUCGCGAUGACCGGAGCCUCGGCUCUCGCGUCACGCAAUCGCUGCGUCAUGUCCGAGUUGGCCGGCGUGCACUUCUCCCCUAGUAGGACGUCGCGAUUCGUUGGGUGUCGGUUUACGGACCGGUAGGUAGCCUGGUGAGUUACGUUCACGCGUACCACUCGCCAGACCUCCGGCUUCCCAACCGGCUGCCCGGCGAUAUAAAACGAUAAUCCAAUGGCAUUGAGCCGCGUUGAACGCGUUUUCGGCUCGUCGGCAGAUUCGCCUCGCUCGGAUUUACGGACCUAGCGCCGUUGCCGGGUGCUUGGCGGGUCGUUCGCCGGCGAUGUCCUCGAACUGGCUCAAAAAUAUUCUUACAGAAUAUGCCGAUCGGCGACGCUACUGCUUUGGGUACUUUCAGGACCCGUCUUGAAACACGGACCAA
rnacentral:rRNA from 1 species